rnacentral:lncRNA from 1 species
ACCUCGAGCUUUUUGGUCAAUUCGACCGAUUUUGGCCUUUCCGGUGAAUUUUCGUCCCGCGAUCAAUCCCAAAUAUUUUUCUACGCCCGUUCUGAUGGCCUGAGUAUUUUUAAUAAACCCUACUGGGAUUCUGAUCUUGAGGAAAAAUAUUUACCGAGCUGUCGGCUUCUUCGAAAAAUUUUGUAAUACCGAAAUUUAGGGUUUUUCGCCCAAUUUCCGAUCUUCCUAUUGUGCUUCCAAAAGUGUCAUUCUUCAAACCUCCUUUGAAUCAAUCUACCACAUUGUCUAACCAUUGUCUAGUGGCAUACUUGACUCAUGGUUUAGACAAGAACAAUCUGAUCGUCUGCGACUCGACCACCCAAAAGAUACUCGACCAUUAUCUUUCUUUUUUUGUUUUUUUUUAAGGUUUCUACACCGACCAUGAGGGUUCCUAUCAGAGACCCCUCAUCAGAAUCCCCUAGACAAUUCAAGGUUCCAGACCAAGCAUUUCUGCUUGAGGGCCCUAGCAGAUAUGAACUCGUUUAGGUAAGCCAACACUGGUCCAUCUCUGGACUCGAUUGCAUAGCACCUUGGUCCAUCUGCUAGGUCACUCGCCAUACUGGUCGAGCCCUAUCCAAUCCCAUAUGGAUCCUUAAGGGGUAAUGCUUAUCUCUGUUGAGUCCUGGUAGACUUCUGCAAAUCCCUAAGCGACCAAGCUUUAGUGGACUGCCUUGUUCCCCAGGCCACUCAACCGUAAACAUAAACUACCUAAGACUGAUUCACAACAUGUUGUUGUAAUCAUAUACCACUGUCUUAUGGAAAAUACUUUGGUCAUGACCAUACCAUGAAGGACGUCCCAUAACAUCCCUCAAUGCAUU